GGGCUCGUAGCUCAGCCAGGUAGAGCGCCUGGCUUUUAACCAGGUGGCCGAGGGUUCAAAUCCCUCCGAGCCCG
rnacentral:tRNA from 1 species